GAAGAGAGAGUUAAAGAGCACGUGAAAUCGGUAAGGUGGAAACGGAUAGAGUUGACGUAUAUGGCUUGUAUUCAACUGUUGGAUUAUGCGUAACAAUGGGUUGUUUUGCGUUGACCGGUAUAAUAUACAGUAUUUUUUAAUAUUGUUUUAUAUUGGGCUGGUUUGGCGCCGCAGUCCAUUGGUGUUUACGUUUUUUAGCGGUGCAUUUACAAGUCAAUGUGCGCUGGGACAUGCGCGUUUCGGUUGUCGAAGAAGUUUGGUGCAAGAGGUUACUUUUUGACAUUUUAAAUUUAUUUAAAAUGCGAAGUAAAACCGUGCCCCUUUCGGAGGCGAUUCGUCGUGCAUGUAGUACUAUUAUGGUUUAUUAAACUUCUUAAAGGAUGGCAUUUUUAAUUAAAAAAAAAAAAUGCGAAUGUUUAAAUUUUUAAAUUGUAUUUGUUGAUUAUACGAGUCGCAUGCGAUGCGUAUAAUUAUUUUAAAAAAAAAAAAAAAAAUAAAUACAAUUAUUUAAAUAUUUCCCUCUUUCCUUUAUCCCGGUGUAAAAGUCAAUCAUCUAUCCGACCCGUCUUGAAACACGGACCAAGGAGUUUAACGUAUACGCGAGUCAUUGGGUGUUAAAAACCUAAAGGCGUAAUGAAAGUGAAUGUAUUUCUUUGAAAAUACAAAUAUGCGAUCCCAUAAAUUUCGAUUUAAGGGCGCAGCAUAGCCCCGUUUUUGUCGCAUGCGAUGGAGCGGAGGAAGAGCAUAUGCGUUGAGACCCGAAAGAUGGUGAACUAUGCCUGAGCAGGACGAAGCCAGAGGAAACUCUGGUGGAAGUCCGAAUCGGUUCUGACGUGCAAAUCGAUCGUCUGACUUGGGUAUAGGGGCGAAAGACUAAUCGAACUAUC
rnacentral:rRNA from 1 species